GACAAACGCUGGCGGCAUGCCUAACACAUGCAAGUCGAACGGACAGAACAGGGAAGCUUUUCGGAGUGGAACUGGAAAGUUAGUGGCGGAUGGGUGAGUAACGCGUGGACAACCUACCUUGUAAAGGGGAAUAACCUCGAGAAAUCGAAGCUAAUACCCCAUAAUAACCUUGCUUCGCAUGAAGUAAGGAGGAAAGGCGGCCUUAGCGCUGUCGAUACAAGAUGGGUCCGCGUCUGAUUAGCUAGUUGGUGAGGUAAAGGCUCACCAAGGCGACGAUCAGUAGCCGGCCUGAGAGGGUGAACGGCCACAUUGGGACUGAGCCACGGCCCAAACUCCUACGGGAGGCAGCAGUGGGGAAUCUUCCGCAAUGGGCGAAAGCCUGACGGAGCAAUGCCGCGUGAGUGAAGAAGGCCUUCGGGUUGUAAAACUCUGUCCUUAUCGAAGAGAGAGUGUUGUAGUAACUGACAAUACUAGGACGGUAGAUGAGGAGGAAGCCCCGGCUAACUAUGUG
rnacentral:rRNA from 1 species